rnacentral:rRNA from 1 species
CACGUAGGGCGCAAGCGUUGUCCGGAAUUAUUGGGCGUAAAGAGCUCGUAGGCGGUCUGUUGCGUCCGCUGUGAAAACUCGGGGGCUUAACCCCCGAGCCUGCAGUGGAUACGGGCAGACUAGAGGUAGGUAGGGGAGAAUGGAAUUCCCGGUGUAGCGGUGAAAUGCGCAGAUAUCGUCAAGAACACCGAUAGCGAAGGCAGCUUACUGGGCUGUAACUGACGCUGAGGCACGAAAGUGUGGGGGAUCAAACAGG